rnacentral:lncRNA from 1 species
ACAAAAUCCUAAUUCUAAUAGAAUACUAAUAAUACUUUAAUUAGAUCAUAAUAAUGUUAAACAAGCUUAAUCAAAUUCAAAAAAACCUCAAAAAAAUUUCAAACAAACAAUAAGAAUUCUUAAAAAAAUAUUCAAAAGAACACAAAUAUCACUCAAAUACAUCUCAAUUCAAUCUUAAUUUAAUUCUAGUUAAAAUCCUAUUGAACUUCAUUCAAACUUUAGGCCAAAACUAAUUGAAUCUUAAAUCCUAAUAAAAUCCUAAACCCUAAAUCAAAUCCUAAACAAACCUUAAACAAAAUCCCAACCAAAUCCUAAACCAGAUCCUAACCAAAUCCUAAACCAACCCUAAAUCCUAAAUCAAACCCUAACCAAACCUUAAACCCUAAAUAAAAUCCUAACCAAAUCUUAAAUCCUAAAUCAAAAUCUAACCAAAUCCUAAACCCUAAAUAAAGCCCUAACCAAAUCCUA